CCGCCUGGGGGUACGGUCGCAAGAUUAAAACUCAAAGGAAUUGACGGGGACCCGCACAAGCGGUGGAUGAUGUGGAUUAAUUCGAUGCAACGCGAAAAACACUUACCUACCCUUGACAUGUCUGGAAAGCCGAAGAGAUUUGGCCGUGCUCGCAAGAGAACCGGAACACAGGGCAUGCAUGGCGUCAGUCAGCUUGUGUCGUGAGAUGUUGGGUUAAGUCCCGCAACGAGCGCAACCCUUGUCAUUAGUUUCACGCAAGAGCCCUUUAAUGAGACUGCCGGUGACAAACCGGAGGAAGGUGGGGAUGACGUCAAGUCCUCAUGGCCCUUAUGGGUAGGGCUUCACACGUCAUACAAUGGUCGGGACAGAGGGUCGCCAACCCGCGAGGGGGAGCCAAUUUCAGAAACCCGAUCGUAGUUCGGAUCGCAGUCUGCAACUCGACUGCGUGAAGUCGGAAUCGCUAGUAAUCGCGGAUCAGAAUGUCGCGGUGAAUACGUUCCCGGGUCUUGUACACACCGCCCGUCACACCAUGGGAGUGGGUUUCAACCAGGAAAGGUCAGCGUGAUGCCU
rnacentral:rRNA from 1 species